AUGUCUAAAGAUGGUCACAGUCACCGUGAUGUUAUGUCAGAAGUACAAGAUGCAGGGGAUUUGGAAGAGGGAAAAAGUGUAGUGUCUGAGAAAUCUGAGACAAAAACAAGAAAAUCCUCUCGUGAAAGGCGAUUAACGCCAAAAAUGCAGGAACUGAAAGAUCAAGAGUUAACUCAAAAGGAGAAGAGGUUCAAAGCAACAUAUGAGAAAUGGAAAAGCAAUGUAAGAGACAUUCGCACAAGGUUAAAGCAAGUAUGCUCUGAGUGUGACAUGUAUAAUAUGAUGGAUGAGGCUGAGAAGCUAGAGUCUGAAUUAAAGGAACAGUAUGACAGAAUUCGACUCCAAACCUCACCAAGUCAAGAAAUUCGAAGAAAGAUCGAUGCAUGCUCAGCCGUGACGGCCGAUUUGCUUCAGCUGAUGAGAGUACGUCUGACUGAAGAUGAAGGUGAGUUUGACACGGUGGCAGAAAGAUCAAGGUUACGCAUGCUACUUGAUAAUGAAUAUGCUAGGUCCAUAUAUGGAUCCACAGCCUCCAGAGUUACUGCACCCAGCUGUCACAAUUCCAACCAUCUCUCAGAGUCACCUAGCAUCUCAGCUAUGAGGGCGGAAGCAGCUGCUCAGCUGGCUGCAAAGAGAGCCGAAAUUGAUAUGGAAGCUGCCAUCGAAGCUCAGCGUCAGCAGUUGAGAAAACUUGAAAAUCAGAGGGACAUUGAUGUCAUUCAGGCAAAGCUAAAUGUCUACACUGAAGAAGAGGGAAGGGAUGGGACAUGCAGUCCUCCAUUCAGCAAAGUGAGUGAUGCACGCCCCUUCGCUCGCCACAUCCCAGAUGAAGAACGGCAGGUUGCACAAAACGAGACAUCAUUGGUCCAAUUGCUACAAGAGUCAUUAGCCCUCACUCGCUUGCCAACUCCAGAACCUUCUGUAUUCUCGGGUGAUCCUCUGAAGUUCACAGAAUGGAGCAUAAGCUUCAAAGCCCUUAUAGAGAGACGAUGCUCUGACCCUGCAGACAGGCUAUUCUACCUGCAAAAGUACAUAGCAGGUGAGGCAAAAUCUUUUCUUGAAGGCAGCUUCUACAGAAAAGAUGAAGAAGCCUAUCAACAAGCAUGGGAUAGGUUAAAUGCUAGAUAUGGCCAUUCCUUUGUAGUGCAGCGGGUUUUCAGAGAGAAGCUAAAUGGGUGGCCGAAGAUUGGUGGAAAGGAAUAUCUCAAGCUAAGAGAGUUCAGUGAUUUCCUCCAAACAUAUAGUAAUGCCAUGCCUCACAUAAAGGGCUUACAGGUUCUUAACAACUGUGAGGAGAAUCAGAAAAUACUAGUCAAGCUUCCUAAUUGGGUGACAUCUAGAUGGAACCGUUAUGUCACAGAGCAGCUAGAUCGGGGCAACGACUAUCCAAGCUUUCAUGAGUUUACUUCCUUUAUCUCUAAGGAGUCACGCAUAGCAUGCAAUCCAGUGUCAUCCUUACAUGCCUUAAGACACUCUGCAGAGGCACCACCCAGAGAGAUGAAGCGUUCAAAAGCAAACACGUUUGCCACAAAUGUGAACCCCCCAAUUCCAUCAAGCUCCACCGCUAAAUCUGACCUUGGUGAAAUCAAGUUGAGAGAUGCAGAGAAACCAAAGAAAUGGAACACACCAACACAAAAUUCCAAUAAUAGCCAGUGUAUUUGCUGUAGUGAGAACCAUUCCAUACAUAAAUGCAAGAGGCUUAUGGACAUGUCUGUAGAGGAUAAGAAAAAAUGCAUACUUGAAAAUAAGUUGUGUUUUGCAUGUCUAAGAAAGGGUCACAAUUCUAAAGAAUGUAGAAACAGGGCCACGUGUGGCAUAUGCAAAAAGAGUCACCCAACGCCAUUGCAUGAAGAUCGUUCUACAGCAGGAGCACCAUCAAUACAAGGCGCAGUUGAAGAAAGUACGUCGUCAUUAUCAUGUUGUGUGAGUGGAGGUGAAGGUGGGAGUACGUCGAUGAUAGUCCCAGUGUGGAUCUCAACACUUAGUGCUCCGGACACUGAAACCCUAGUAUAUGCACUAUUGGACACUCAAAGCAGUCACACAUUUGUUGAUCAGGAGGUGUGCGAAAAACUGCAGGCAACAAUGGAACCAGUGAAACUUAAACUUUCCACCAUGAUGGGGAGAGACUCAGUCGUGAAGAGUCAAAGAGUAUGUGAGCUCAAAGUUAGAGGAUUCUCCUCUAACAUUUCCAUCAGCUUGCCUCCAGCCCACACAAGGGACUUCAUUCCUCUUGACCGUGCACAUAUUCCCACUUGUCAGACAGCCAACAAAUGGAAACACCUUGUCAGCAUAGCCCAGGAGAUACCUCCGUUGAUGGACUGUGGUGUUGGAUUGUUGAUUGGAUACGACUGCUCCAGAGCGUUAAUUCCAAGAAGGGUCAUUACUGGGGGCGACUAUGAGCCUUAUGCUAUUGAGUCGGACCUUGGUUGGAGCAUUGUGGGAAGCGCACCACAGCGUAUGCAGGCUAAAGAUGUGACUGGUUUUUGCCAUCGAGUGUCUGUCAGAGAGGUGCCACCCAUAACACCAUUUGCUGUCAUCAAGGCCCUUGUCAGGAGUUUUCCUGUAGUGCAACUCAGGUUGGAAUAA
rnacentral:lncRNA from 1 species